AAAAUAAUACACAUAUAUUUUGUGUUGCUAAAUCAUUGCAUAAAGGUAAAUUGUUUCCAAAUAAGGAAAGGAGUCAUUCUUUUUGACACGGACUAAAAAGGAAAUAGACUCACAUAAAUUGAAACGGAGGGAGUAGGUUCCGGUAAAACUCCGGCGCAAAAGCGCCACUGACAUCAUGCCUCUAUUGUCAUAGUGACCGAAGAUCUAAUUCCCAUUUUCCUUUUUCUUUCGAAGAAUUAACCCAAAUAGCCCUCUCUUUUCUGAAUAAUUCAAUAUCAGUAAAAAAAAAUCAGCUGGAUUGAAAGAACUAUGGCCGCCCUUGAGAACUACUCCUUCUAAUCUUUCAUACGAGAGAGAGAGAGAGAGGGGGGGUCAUAAACAAAUAAUUUCCUUCCUUGGGUCCAUGGUUUUGGUGGCCUACUUUACAAAAGAAUGAUACUGAAGAAAAGAACAAAGCAACAAACCAAGCGCGUAAUUUGUCGUUUGAUUUGGUUUAAAUGUAUUUAUAGAGAGAAAAGAAUAUUCAAUUCAAAUCUUGUGUUCUUGCAGAAAAUUGUAUAAAGUGAAGAGCUUGCGUCGUUCAUACUUUAUUUUAUUUAUUUGUGUUUACAUUAUACAGCUAAAAAACUACACUACUUUAAAAAAAAAAAAAGUUUCUAGUAUGUAGUAACUUUAAUUUCCUUUUCUAUUUUUCGUGUGUUGUUCGUUCACAUUAAAUAUUAUACGGUCGUACCUAAUAAACGUGGAAACAGUGACGUGCGAACUUAUGGCUACUCAAGUUAAAGAGUUUGUAUCUAUUGGUACGACUAAAAGAAAAGCAGAAGAGAUAAUUUUGGUCUUCCUAAACGGUAAAAGGCAAAGUUUAUAUAAACUUUAUUUUAAUUGUUUGUUUGGCGAGAAAAUUCACAUAUUAUUAAUCAAUUCUUCAUCAAGUGGAUUUUCCUAACCAAUCAAAACGUCACAUAUUAUUAAACUGAGCCGAUGAUAUUUUGAAAAUAGCCUCUAUAUUUUCAUAGAUAAAGGUAAGAUCUGCAUAUACACUUUCCUCCCCAGACUCACUUGUCAGAUUUUAUUGGGUUAUUAUUGUAAAUGAUGGACGGUCAACUAGAUCUACGAACAAUGAUGAUUAUGACAAAAAUUAAAUUUAAGGACCACAAAGUUGCGGCUCCUGAGUCGGAAGCGUGUCUAAAUUUCUCUUUAAUACGAUGGAAAAUGAAAACAGGUCAGCACUGACCCAAUCAAUCGAGUUUGAUUGAAAAUCCGACGUUGCGGCCAAAUAUUUGUCUAAACCGAUAAAAAUUCAGAAUUAACUUGAUUUAUAAUUGUUAAUUAAAAAUUAGUUAUAAUUUUAAAAUUAAUCAAAAUUUAGUUACUUUUUCAUAUCAAAAUAAAAUCGAGAAAAUUUUUAGCAUAAUAUGCCGGAAUUCGAAUUUUUAUAUAUGAAGUUUCAGCAUAUUACUAUUUGACCAAAAAUAUAGAUUUUGGUUCAAAUAAUUAAAUUUAUAUAAAUGAGGUUAAUCUUAGCUAACAAUAAUAUCCCUAAGAUGGAGUUCUUAAAAAGCAACAAAUACUAUGUAGAUAUAGUCGGAUAGUGGCGGUAGCAUGAAAUAAAUAUUUCAGAAAUCAAAGGCAAUAAUGUAGCAUUCAAUAACAAGGAAUAGCAAUAAAUGACAUUUAAGUAAGUAGAAUGAAUGAGUUACCCAAAAAAAGAUGGAAUAAGUGAAUAUUUUUUCUGACAAUGAUGAAUGAUGGACAAUCCCUUGAAUAUUUGAAUUAUUCUCGGAUCUAGUGAAAAAGUGUAGACAAGAAUCUCAGUGAAAAAUGUGAUGUUUGUAUCUUAGCAAUGAGAUCAGAUUCUCUUUCUCAAGUCAAAGUGUAUUUUUACAAAUGAAUAUCACAUGUCCCAUAUAACUAUGUCUCUUUCUAUUUAUAGGGAACAUGUUCCUAGAAACCCUAAUAGUACAAGUGUAGAGAAUAUCCAUUAGAAUAUUCUCCAUUAAGUUCUAUCUUAACACUAGCCGUUAUAACUCUGUCAAACAUGCUCGACUUCGUCCUUGAUGACGUCUCCUCGACUUCAGUCUUGCUGACUCAUCGACCACGACCUUUCCUGAUAAUCAUAUUACUUCGGCGUGGUGCCCCAAGAAUACUUUACCGAUAUCAUUUCGACUAAAGAUGAAUUUUGGCCCAUACAGUUAGUCCCUCCGCUUAUCGAGGUCGUUCCUGCUAACGAAGUCGAUGAGCGAGUAAUGUCGUUUGUGAUACAACUUUAUGGAGUUGUUUGGGGUCGUGGUCAUCGAGAUAAGGCUACGUGGCCUUUUGAGGUCCGCAUAUUUUGAAUUCCUUGAAUUACUCGGGAAGUCUGUUGAAGCCAUCUGAUCCAAGAGUGAAGGUGACGUCAUAACAUCAUGCGUCAUAAUGACAUCGUUUCCCGAUGUAUUGCAUCGAUUCAGGUGUGACCCCUGGUUGGCUAUGUCGUUUCGUUUCCCGUGCUAAUCAUGACCCGUCGUUUCGAUCUUGAUGCCUCCCAAACCUUAUAAAUAGGAGAGGGUUUGUUGAUUUUGAGACUUUUCCAAACCUUUUCUCAUCUUUAAGCACUAGCUUCCCCUUCAUCCUCUUUGCAGAGUCCUCUCUACUCUUUAUUUCUGCGAUUCACCUUAUUCCUCAUUCCCUCUUGCUUGUUACUUUCUUUCACUAUUUUGGAUCAUGUCUACGUACCUUCUGAGGACGGCAAGGGGAAUCACGUUGCCCCCUUAGCAAUGGUGUUCCCUUCUCGUGGGGAGAGUAUUUCUACCACCGUUGAGGAUAAAAAUUUCUCGUCGGUGGAGGAAAUAGUACCACGCAACCCUGAUUCCAGAUCCAAUUUCACCAAAGCCCCUGAGGCCGUACCUGGUGAUUUUCAAUCAGUGAUGACGAUACAGGAGUUAGCGGAGCUUAAGGCCAAAUUCGGUCUUGCCGCUCAUGUCGAGUUGAUUCUCGUUGUGGGAGAUGGGGUACAGGUUCACCGUCCCGGGUACUGUGCCCUCUACGCUUAUCCUUUCUGUCACGGCCCAAACCAAUGGGCCAUGACGGGCACCCAGUGCCUUACUCAACCGAGUACCAACGUAACGUAUCUUUCUUAUCAUACUAUCAUGGGUAAGUGAGCCAGAAAGGCCGUCAUGAGAUAAACAAAAUAAAAUAUAAGGGAAUACUCGACAUAAAACGACCCAACAUGAUAUACAAACUUAUACAUGUGACAUACAGGCCUAUAAGGCUGACAUGAUCAUUUGUACACACAAACCAUAGGCCGACAAGGCCAUACAAGUAUCCANNNNNNNNNNNNNNNNNNNNNNNNNCCAAUCAAUACAUGUCCAAAUCAUACCGACCAAAUAGGCAACUCCGGAGUAAGUGGAGUGCACCAACACCUUCCGCUGAGCUGAUAGCCUAUUAGGAGGACUGUCAACCUGUCUAUCGGGACCUGCGGGCAUGAAACAUAGCGUUCCUAAGUAAAAGGGACGUCAGUACAAAUAAAGUACCGAGUAUGUAAGGAGUAAAAAGUAGUAUAUAAAAGACAUGAGAGAAACAUAGAGUAAAGAACUCAACCUUUAAGUCUGAAUAACUCUGUAAAUCAUGAAACAUUUAUAAUAUCAUGCAUAUUCGUAUAAAUGUCAUAUCAUGCAUAAGUAUAUGCGUACAUAACUUCAUCAAGCCUCUGAGGGCAUCCCAUCAUAUCAUCUCGACCUCUGUAGGCGAAAUCAUUAACGUAUACCGGUCGAUCAGGUGGUGGUGCGUAUAUAACACCAUAACCUUUCCCCAUACCCCAUAUACAUAUAAUAUACGCGUAUAUAACGCCAUCUGGUCAUGGGUCAAUGUACACGUAUAAAUGAAUGCAAUGCAUAAGAAGUAAGCCAAUAAGAUCUCUCGGUUAAUAUUAUGAAAUAAACUUUAUCAACUUAGGUAUUUUCUGAGACCCAUGAACAGACGAUAUAAUAAUAGGACAUAUAGGGAAUUAAGAACAUAGGCAACCCUAGUACUUCUAAGAAUAGACUCAUUUGUAAAAGUUCUGCGUUUGCUCGUUUCGUUUUGUAUCAUAUGGAUUAUGUCAAAAGGAAAGAAGGGAUAGCCUUAACAUACCUCAAGUCGUCAAUGGAACUCAACAACAAUCUUAUGACAACUAGCGUGCCAACCCUAUAAUAAAGAAAUACAUGUACAACUUAGAUGGCGCUAGUAUAUCACGUAUCUCAAAUGAUAACUCGAUUUUAAAAUAAAACGGGUAGCAUUUUCCCUGAUUUUACUGAUCCCUCAAGCCUACUAUAGGCGAGAUACAAACACAAUACAAUCAGCAACUCAAAAACAACCCAACUACAAUUCAGGACCUUCAAUACAACAAAAACCCAAAAUAUACCAUAACACACCCAAUCAACAAGUUAUCAAUUAGCCUGAAAUUGCAACGACGAGCGACCAGCCUACUACCCUACCACAUGUGGAGUUUCUCCAUGCAUUUCAUCCUUCCAAACUCCAUAAAUCAUCAGCACAAUAGGCCAACACGAGUGGACUACAAAACAGUCCACUAAAAGUGAAAUAAAUCAAACUCACGGCUUCUGAUCACCGUCCCGUGAGUUCUAACUAUUAGGAAAUGAAUUUAUCAACCUUCAUUGAUAUUUAAAAGCUUAAAUACAGAAAGUAGAUGUUUUCUGAACUAUGAAUUACCUUCCAAAACUCAAAUUACAAAGAAAAAGAGAGGCGAUAUAGCGAUACUUACGUCGUAGGGAUUGUUCUAAUGUUAUCGCUUCUUGAUUUCGUACCCAGGAUGUUAAUCUUCUUUAAAACCCUAGAAGAGAGCUUAAGGAUAUGUUUAUGGGUGUUCUCUGGUGGUGUUCCCUGGAAAUAUAAAGAUAAAUAUGACCUAAGACCUAUAUAUAUCAACUUUUGAAAAGUCAAAGAGGUGCAAGCUUGGCACCCUAGCAUUGGCCCAUCUUCCGACGCUUAUAUCUUUUUAUCCGGAUGUUGUAUGAAUGAAAGGUUAAGAGUGUUGUAAACUAAAUCCCAAGACAUUCAAUGUUGUAUAUAAUAUGUCCCAAGAAGACCUCAUAGAACACACAAAAUGUAUUGCUCAAAAGGCUUCAGUGACACACCUACUUGUCAUCUAUGCAGUUUGCGCAGUAUCGCAAAACUGCAAAUGUCUCUCUGCUCCGAUGUUGUAUCGACAAACGGUUUAAUGCGCUAGAAAUUGGACUCGCAGAUCUUCAAUUUGAUAUGUGGAAAAUCCUGUAAUUCCAAGUAUAUUAGGCUAAAAUCUCUGCUACAUUUGACCUAAUAAUCAACACAUUAUGAAUGUAACUUGUGAUGACCUUUGCCAACUUUUGUUCCGCAACUCACUUGACUUAAAAGUGUAACACAUGAAUAUCAUACGACUAAAAUAACUCAUAACAUAACCUCUUUAUCAUGUUAAGAACCCUAAGAUCACUCCAAAAGUACAUGUUAUAACAUUCCCAACUUGUCGACAUUCGACGAAACUUAUUUUCUUCAAUUUGUUUAGCUUCUAAGCCUUUCAACCCUCUUGGUACUUGUUAUCCAUGAUAUUAAAUAUUUGUAACCUCCAAGGUAACAUGAUUAACUUACUUUAUAUACUUUCAAAGAUGAUCUUAUUUCUGAGCUUACAUUAAUUGACUUAUGACGUAUUCUCACGUACGAAAAUAUGGGGUGUAACACUUUCUAAGUCGGCUAUUCCCUUCCUUUACUACCGCUGGUCGAGGAGUUCUAUUGUUACUACGAUGUUUGCCUAGCUCAGCUUGCGUCGUACGUCUAUAAACUUAUAAAGAUGCUUACCAAGUUUGCCGAGCUAGCUGGGGUCGAGUUGACACUUCGACACUUAAUACACAUGUUCGCCCCUAGCCUUUAUAGGAGAACGAUGUUGAAUAUUCACCACCGAGGGGGCAAGUGCUUGGUGGACGACGAAACCAGAUGUCAAUUCUGGUUCAACUUCUUUUUUGUCAGAACUUAGGACGUGGUGGCCAAUGUCGAUGGUUUUUCUAAGGCUUGGAAUUAUGCUCGUAAGUGCCUAACCCUGGUCGUAGGUAUCUGAUUUUUCUUCUGUGUUUGGUCAUGGGUUUUGACCUCUUGUCUCCUUCUCAUGCAACCAAGACCUCGCUUCCUCCUUUGGUCGCUCAUAUUUCUGAUUGGGUUGAUCUACUCCUCCCUCACAUCGUAGGGAUUCGUGAAUGGCCAAGUUUUUUCAAGAAGUUUGGGCCUGCUCUCCCUUCGACUGGUAAGUUCUCUUUACCAUCGGUGUCUUAACUCUGUAUUUUUGUUUACCUUUGCUGAAUUUCCAUUUCCUUAUUUUUUCUUAGCUUUGGCCAGGGGAUCUUCAAGGAGGUCGAGAGCUCCCGCACUCUCGUUCCAGAAGAGGAAAGCUACUGCGUCCUCAGUUCUUACCCCUACGUUUAUUGCGACUAAUCCUGCCUUUGUUCCAGUCCCUCAUGUUGCAGCGUCCGAAUCUGUCCCUCUUUCAGUCGUGGAGACUUCGGCCAUAGAGACCUCGACUUCUUCCUUAUAUUCUCACAUAGACGAGGACGAAGAACCUUUGCCUAGUGAUGGAGAUUUGAUGUCUCGUAAGAAGAGGGUCGUGGACAUCGGGGGAGAGAGGUCGGCAGUCGUCGAUGAAGGAGAUUGCGAUUUUAUCCUUCGGGAAAUGGCCACAGUAUAUCGGGGAGAUCCUAGAUCCUAGUCCCGAGGCCACUUGUUUGGAGGAUACAGAUAUACGACAUGUGGGUGAUGCGGUCGAUGGCGUGGUGGGCAGUAACGAUCCUGUUCUUCCAAGACGCAAAGAUGCCUCGUCUUCCGAGGUUGCGGCAGACGUGCCUUCUUCGACUGAUGAUGGAGGGAAGGCUGUUGCUGAGGAGGAUGUUGGAUCUGAUUCCGACAUGAAUGUAGAUAAGCUGAGGAUGAUCGACAAGGGGCUUACUCAGCUUGAAGUGAGGUUGGAGGGGGAUUCAAGGACUAUUAUGAUCCCGAUAGAUCGUAAUCUUCUAAUGGACACUGAGAAUAUUACCCCUUCCCUUGUCCCUCUUUGUUCUGAGAUCAAGGGUACGACCCUUAAGACUAUAGAUGAAAAUGCCUUGUCAUACAACAUUACAGGUAUCGCCCUUCGGGUAAGUACAUUUGUUGUAAGUUGUUUUCCUUUAGUUUUGUUCUUUCGUAGUCUCUAACUUCCUUUGUUCGUUUUGUAGACGGUCGUCUUGGAAAUUGAGAGUGCUCGUAGGGAGAAGAGACAUAAAGAUAUCUAUGUGAAAUUGAAGGAAAAGUACUUCAGUUGCUUUGAGAAGUAUCGGGAGCUUCGAUGCCAAUUUCGUGAAGGCGACAAUGUGCGCCAACUGAGGUAGGACUUGAAGGCAAGAGAGGAGAAGCUGGUACAGAUGGUGGGGAAGUACAAUGUCCUGGAGGGGACUUGAGGAGCAAAGAGGAAGAUCUUGAGCUUAGCAAGGGGGUCAAAGUCCAGUGCAGUGAUCUCCAAGCUCAGGUAGUCAUGUUGCGAGGCCAGCUCGAGGAAUGUCAAUUUAGGGCGAAAGAUCUUAGUGGCAAGGUCGCUGAGAAGUAAGGGGAGUUAGAGAAGGCGGAAUCUGCGCUGUCAGAGGCUUUGAGGAAGGCGGAGUCCCUUGAGGUGGUGAUCCGGACUCUCCGUUCCGAGCGAGAAAAUGAUUUAAUGACGGUCAGGCUCAAAGAAGAACGGCUAGAUGAAAGGAUUGAGGAGUUGGAGAGAGAAACUUCUGGCCUCUAUGAUUGAGUUGUUGCUCUGGAGGCCGAGAAGGCCCAAUUACUGGAAUAACCAUACUCUACCCGCACUUCAUAUUUUCCCAAUGUUCCUCAAGAGUUAUAUGAGGAGUGGAUUUACACCGAGGCCCAGUUAGAUGUCUUUCGAGAUUUGCAUACAACGUGAUCCGUUUUUGAGGUUGCCCUCGAAGAUGUUUGUGUUAAGGCUCAUGAAGCUCAUGUCACUUGUGGGUAUGAUCCCUCUACGUAUGAGGCCGGUGAGGAUGAGGGGACGAGGGUAUAGAUCGACUCGAGGAGAUUGCCUGGUAUGAUGCCAAAAAUCUUGAGGGCGAAGGUGGCGAUGGCGAUGGUAUUGAUGGUCAGGGUGGUAACGCCAUUGGGGGACAAGUUGGCGAGGGCACUAAUGGUCGUGAUGGCAGCGACCAAUAGUUAUCUUUUGAUAUUUUUGUGUAUGUUUGCCCAUGUCUUCACGAGCCUUUGUAAACAGUUAUGAAAUAUCAAAGUUGUUUCUUGCAUCUUUUUUUCUUGUGUUGUUUUUUGUACUUGUAUGUUUUUUACCUCUAUUGUUUGCUUGUUUUGCUUUUGUCUUUCUUGUUGUUAUUGCCUUUUAGAUGGCCGUGGCCUUGGAGUCGACUAUUCGUAGAUUGCGUGCAUUAUUUUUUCUUCUCUUGUUUUGUGUGUGUUGAGAUAUGGUUGAGGGCCGAUAGGUGUUUGGUUGGGCCAGGUUAAAAUAAUCUUUUGUUAGAUCGCGGAUGAGGGCUAGUAGGUGUUUGUUUGAUUGUUAUCGAACAUAACCAUUCGUUAGAUCGCGGUCAAGGGUCGGUAGGUAUUUGUUUCAUCGUAAUUGAACAUAACCUUUCGUUAGAUCGCGGUCGAGGACUGGUAGGUAUUUGUUUGAUCGUAACCUUUCGUUAGAUCACGACCCAGAGUUGGUAGGUGUUUGUUUGAUCGUAAUCAAACGUAACCAUUCGUUAAAUCACGGUCUAAAGUCGAUAUGUGUUUGAUUGAGCAUGGUCGAACAUAACUUUUCAUUAAAUCGCGACCAAAGGCCGGUAGGUGUUUGUUCGAGGGGGGUCGAACAUCGCCUUUCGAUAGAUCGCGGCCGAGAACUGGUAGGUGUUUCUUCGAGCGGGGUCGAACAUAACCUUUCAUUAAAUUGCGGCCGAGGGCCGGUAGGUAUUUGUUCAAGCGGGGUCGAACAUAACCUUAACACAACAAAGUUGUGCUGAUAAGCGUAAGUUUCUUAUUUCUUUGGCAUUGUUGCUUCGGUUACAUACUUGGAGAAAAUUAUAGAUUUUGGGUGUUGGCUGGCAUUCUAGUCCCAGUCUAUCUAGUCCCUUCAUUGGUUGACCUGGAGAGUAUUGAGACUUCGAGCGAUGAAACAGUAACCACGAUCCUACCUUCGCGUACUUCGACUAAAAGUUUCCCCUUUGCCGCCUCGUUAAAAACCUCCUUGAGAAAACCCGAAUGGGAUAAAACUCAAGUGAGGAAAAAAAGAGUACGACUUAGGGGACAUUUUUUCUCUCAAAAGUUGAAGUAUUUGAGGUGGCUGAUAUUCCAGUUAUUUGGUAGUAGCUUUCCUUCCAUUGUCUCUAGUUGGAAUGAACCCUUGUUCACUUUGACUAUGAUUUUGUACGGAUCAUCCCAAUUUGUUCCCAACUUACCUUCUCGAGGAUCUUUGCUCGCUUGAGUUUUGGCUUUCAGUACGUAGUCCCCGACUUUAAGCGGCCGGACCUUUGCUUUCUUGUUGUAAUAGCGUCCUGCUUUUUGUUUUUGGGUGACCAUUCUUAUGUAGGCCAUAUCUCUUCGUUCGUCGAUUUUGUCGAGUUCCUGCUUUCUGCUCUCAUCAUUACUCGUGCCACUUUCAUGGGAGUAACUUAGUCUGGGUUUUCCGACCUCGACCGGUAUUACUGCAUCGAUCCCAUAGACCAAAGAGUAGGGCGUCUCUCCUAUGCUCGUCUUCGGAGUUGUUCGAUAGGCCUAUAAUACUUCUGGUAGCAUUUCUGGCCACAGUCCCUAGGCGUCUUUGAGAUUUUUCUUCAUGAUAUUUAGUAUGAACUUAUUGGAGGAUUCUGCUUGCCCGUUACCCGUUGGAUGGUAUAGGGUUGAGAGUAUCCUCUUGAUAUGCCAUUUCUCGAAGAAUUCAGUGGUUUUCUUUCCUGUGAACUGGGGUCUGUUGUUAGAGCUAAUUUCCUUGGUUAGGCCAAAUCGACAUAAGAUGUUUCUCUAUAUCAUAAGAAAAUACUGAAAAUCUUUCCAAAAUGAGAGAAGGAGAGAAGGCGCGCGGUGAUUACCUCAUGUUCCCGUAUUUAGGUGAAUGCUCCCACUUCCACCCAUUUAGAGAAAUAGUCAGUUAAAACCAAAAGGAAUCGUACAUUACCUCCCCCUGCUGGGAGGGGGCCCACGAUAUCCAUUCCCCAUUUGAUGAACGACCAAUGGGAGGUGACCGAGUGGAGGUGUUCGCCUGCUUGGUGGAUCAUUGGGGUGUACUUUUGGCACUAUUCGCAUUUCCUCACGAAGUCUGCGACAUCUUUUUUCAUGGUAGGCCAGUAGUAUUCUGCCCAUAUAAGGCAUCUGACCAAUGCUCGAAUGCUGGAGUGAACUCCGCAGUAGCCUUCAUGGACUUCUUCGAGGACGCGCUGGGUUUGGUUCCAGACCAAGCACUUCGCUAGAGGGCCGCCAUAAGUCCUCUUGUACAGGCCGCUAUGAAGAAAACUAUAUCUGGCCGCUUGCAUUCUUAGGUUCUUGGCCUUUUUUUGUUGCAUGGGAGUGUGUCGUCCUGCAAAUAUGCAAUAAUACGAUUUCCCCAGUCCCAAGUUAAUUUUAUGGUUCUUACCUCGAUUUGGUCUAGUGAUGAGUUGAAGAGGUGGACUACGUUUGUAUCUCCGGUUAUGAUGCUUUUGGUAGCUGCGGCUAGUUUGGUGAGGCCAUCUGCUUCGGCAUUCUAUGGUCGUGGGAUUUGAUUGAGAUGGCAUUCGUCGAACUCAGGAAAUAGCUUGCAGAUUUUGGUUUGGUAUUUUUGCAAUCUUCGUUCCUUGAUUUGGAAAGUCCCCGUGACUUGGUUAACUACGAGUUGGGAAUCACAACGGAGUUUCAACCGUUUCGCCCCAUACUUGAGUGCUAGCCUUAACCCUACAAUUACGGCCUCAUACUCGGCCUCAUUGUUAGUCAUAUCCAGGCAUCUUAUGGACUAGAGAAUUACUUUGCAUGUUGGGACCUCGAGUACGAGUCCCAGUUCAGACCCUGAUGCAUUGGAUGCGCCAUCGGUGUAUAGGACCCAGAGGUCUUGUGUUUGGAGGGAAGCUUGGACGGCUUCCUUUUCGAUUUCAUACAUUAUUUUUGCACUGAAGUCAGUGAUGAAUUCGGCGAGCACUUGUGACUUUAUCGUCGUUUGUGGCUGGUAUGUGAUAUCGUGCUCGCUUAGAUCGAUGGUAGCCUCCCCAAUAGCUCGGGUUUAUGCAAAAUUCUCCUCAUGGGAAAAGUUGUGAUGAUCGAGAUGAGGUGGCAUUGGAAAUAGGGUCUAAGAUUCCGUGGAGCUACGACCAAGGCUAGAGCUAAUUUUUCGAGCUAUGGGUAACUCGUCUCGGCAUCGACGAGUGUUUUGCUAAUGUAAUAGAUGGAGAUUGCGUACCUUUGUUUUCCCAGAUCAAUACUGCGCUUACUGCUAACUCGGAGAUGGCAAGAUAGACGAGGAGUUGUUCCCUAGGUUCGGGUAUUGAAAGAAGGGGCGGUGAUGAUAGGAGUUGUUCCCAGAUCAAUACUGCGCUUACUGCUAACUCGGAGAUAGGCUGGAGGGGAUGGCUCUCAUGGAAUGUAUUCAUGGUCGUCUCACUAUGGCAUUUUACGCAGUGGCCUGAUCUAUGAUGUGGAAUGUCGUCUCCAGAGUCACGCCGUCAGCCAAGAUGGGGAAUAUAAUUUCCUCGAAUGUCCAAUUAACUGCAUUAUUAAAAUCGAUUAGCGUGAUGCAACACGACACUAUCUUAUCCCCGAUCCUAAUUUUGGUAAGGACUCAGGGAUGGAUAGUGCAUGCACCGUUUCCAUCGUCCACCAUGAUGCAUUUGACAUCGGUAUCUAAAUAAGAGAAAGUCAAACCGCCGGCAUCCGACUCGUCGAAGAUGAUACUUUCUUGAGUCCAUCGUACCGUUCGCGGGUGAUAGACCGCUUGAGCUUGUGAGUGGUGGUGAACUUCACGUCGUUGAUAGAGGCGUUGUCGCCGUUACCGAUGAUCAUGUUGAUGGUAUGAGCUGGCGAUGGCGGCUUUGGCAGACCUUGAUGUUCACGUCCUCUGGCGAAGUUGGUCCUCCCCUUAUUGCUUAACAACUCUUUGAGGUGCCCUUGCCAUAACAUGUUUACGAAUUCUUGUCUGAGGGCGAUACAAUCUUCUGUUUUGUGCCCGCGUUCCUAGUGGAACUCACAUAAGGCGUUGGAUUUUCUGGUGUUCGGGUCUGAUCUCAUCUUCGUCGGCCACUUCACUUUUAUUCCGAGUUUCUCAAGAGCGUAGACUAUUUCUCUAGGCGACACACAAAAAUUAUAAGCAGAUAAUAAAUGAGGCAUACCUCUUUCGUUCUGAUGAGUCCUUGUCUUUGACCUGGACGGGCCUUCUUCAUAGCAGAGGGAGGGUACGGUGGCCGCCCUGACAUAUGGUUGGUGCCAUUCCCUAUUAGGUCGUAGUAUCGGAUGAUCUCUUCUUGUACUAUCUUUUCGUUCUUUUCUGGAUUCGGUUUGUACUGAGGUUAGCCGAUGAGUUGGUCCGUUGAGGUCAUCCUCAUCUGCUCAGACCUCGGCACAAUAAGCAUUGUGGAUUUCAUCCUAAGUGGUUGGAGGAUACUUCAUCAAUCGGCUCAACAGUUUUCUAGUUGCUCUUGAACCCUCUCAACUCAACCAGUUCUGAAAAGCUGCGACCACCAUCCCUUUCGGAUACGUUUGGCAGAGUCAUCCUUACUAUGUUGAACCGGGCGAGGAAGCACCUUAGUCCCUCUCCCAAGGACUUCUUAAUAGCAAAUAUGUCGUUUACUCUCGUCUCAGCCUUCUUGGCUCCCGCAUGGGCAGUUACGAACUUAUCGGUCAUUUCUUCGAAAGUUUCUAUGGACCAGGCUGGUAGCUGCGAAUACCAUGUUAAUGCCCCGCUCGUGAGGGUUUCGCCAAACAUCUUCAACAAAAUAGAAGACAUUUGUUCCUUGGCGAGGUCAUUGCCUUUCACGACGGUGACGUAGUGAGUCACAUGAUCUUCAAGAUCGAUCGUUUCGUCGUAUAUCCUGAGGAAAAGCGGCAUUUUGAAGGUCUUUGGUAUGACAUGCGGGGCUGCAUCAUCAUUGUACGGCUGCUCUACAAACAUGCCAGUGUCCAUUUUCGACAGCAGCUUAGGAGCGCCCGGUAUCUUGUCAACUCUUUCUUGGUGCUCUUUCAUUUGGUCUCAGAGUGUCUUGUUUUCAUUCUCCAUUUCUUCCACGCUCUUUAGAAUGGUAGCGAAUGCGUUGUCACCUGCACUGUCAGUAACAUUAUGAGUUAUACCUAUUGUUGGAGGGAGGGGUUGGUUGUACUGCUCGUCUGUUUGUUGUAUUGUACAAGCCCUUGCGGUUUCUGCAGUCAUGCCUGGAGUGAGUUUGUUGAGGACGCUUGUGUGUCGGUCAGCCAAGCAUCGAUGAAUUUUUUUACAGCUGGGGGCGACCCUUCCUCUGUCGACGUGGAGGUCCCUUUUCCGCUCGGUUCUAUUAUGCUGCAGUGUGGGGGAGGUGACCUAUCUCGCCUAGGGAAGGCGUUGGAUGUCGUGUCCUCACCUACUGUUUCACAGCUUUCGUUGAUGACAUUUAUGAGGUUGGUUGGAAAGUCACUUAUUAUUUUUUUCCUUUCUCCUUGGUUACCUGCCAUGUAGGAUUUUGUAUACACAAAGAAAGGAGAUCUCGGUUUUUUUUAGUGUUAGCGACUUGCGUUAGUUGUAGAUCUAGAGGAAACUAAAAAUUUAACUAAGAAAUCCCCACAGACAGCCCCAAAUUGUUUGACCAAAAAAUUCAGAUCUUGGUUCAAAUAAUUAAAUUUAUAUAAAUGAGGGUUAAUCUUAGCUAAUAAUAAUAUCCCUAAGAUGUAGUUCUUAUAAAGCAACAAAUACUAUGUAGAUAUAGUCGGAUAGUGGCGGUAGCAUGCAAUAAAUAUUUCAGAAAUCAAAGGCAAUAAUGUAGCAUUCAAUAUUAAUGAAUAGCAAUAAAUGACAUUUAAGUAAAUAGAAUGAAUGAGUCACCCAAGAAAGGAUGGAAUAAGUAAAUGUUCUUUCUGACAAUAAUAAAUUAUGGACAAUCCCUUGAAUAUUUGAGUUAUUCUCGGAUCUAGCGGAAAAAUGUAGACAAUAAUCUUAGUGAAAAGGUGAUGUUUGUAUCUUAGCAAUGAGAUUCGAUUAUCUUUCUCAAGUCAAAGUGUAUUUUUGCAAAUGAAUAUCACGUGUCCCCUAUAACUAUAUCUCUUUCUAUUUAUAGGGAACAUGUUCCUAGAAACCCUAAUAGUACAAGUGCAGAGAAUAUCUACUAGAACAUUCUCCAUUAAGUCCUAUCUUAACACUAGUCGUUAUAACUCUGUCAAACAUGCUCGACUUCGUCCUCGAUGACGUCUCCUCGACUUCAGUCUGGCUGACUCAUCGACCAUGGCCUUUGUUGAUAAUCAAAUUACUUCGGCGUGGUGCCCCAAGAAUACUUUACUGAUAUCAUUUUGGCUAAAGAUGGAUUUUGAGCCAUACAAUUACGAAUUGCAUAGUAUGCUGAGUUUUAUACGCAAGAGUUUCAUAAUCUAGCAUAUUAUGUUGGAUUUUUUUUAGUGUUUCAGCUAAAAAUAUUUUUGUUCGGAUUUUAUUUUUCGCAUUAAAUAGUGAAUAUUUUUCAGUUACUUUCCAAACACUGGCUAUUUUGAAAAAAUUAUACAGUAUAGCCGCUACCAAAAAUAAUAGCCCGCAAUAUAUAUUUUUUGUAUUAAUAUAUAAUAUACAUAUCUUUUACAUAUUUGACUAGCGGAUAUAAUUAUAUUUGACUGUAACUUGCGACAAGGAAGGACCCAUAAAAGCAACCAUUUCAACUCUUUGAAUUCACUUGUUUUCACAUUUCCGAAAAAUUCUGUGACAGUAUCUAUUACUACAUUCUUAGCAAUGUGGGAAAACAUGUUUUAUGCCCAGCGCUGAGAAAAAUGGAUAAAUAGCUAGAGUUAUAGUUAUUGCUUUCUGCAAGGUUAUCAUUUAAGUCCAUCAACAAAUCGUGCUGCCCUAUGCAAUUCUCACCUCAAUUCUAUUAGAAAGUCCCAACUAUUUUCCUCAAUGUUAUCACUAGAGAAUUGGAAAAAAUAAAUAAAUUACCGGCAACACCAUUGAGAUAAAUUUUUAGUCACGUUACUAUGUUUACAUUAAAGUCCAAUAUUUCUUUGGAGUCUUUUAUUCCUACUAGAAAUUUUAUAUGCCAAUAGCAAAUAUAGAAACCGUUUAAUACUUAUUUAUUUUUGCUUAUAGAUAAAACGAAAUGAAAAUUCAUAUAGCCAACGCUUGUUUGCUUGAAAUUUAGUAGUUUGUCAUCAGAGAAUUGGUUAUAUUACUCGGGUAUAACACUUUAGCUUAUUGUCUCUUUUUGGUUGCCAGGAGAAUUGUCAUUAAAGUGGGACUACAGAAAAACAUUUGUAGCCAACUAGGGAAAAUGCUCAUCAUCAAUAUUUGAAAUUCAUGAGUAUGAUAAGAACUAGGGACAGAGAUAAGAGUCAUCAUGAUCAUAAAGUUCACACAUUCAUGGCAUACUAAUCCUGACAAAUGCCUGGGAUUUGCAGAAGAGCAAAAUACAUCACAUAAAUAACUGGACAGACCAGCCAACAUAGCAAACAUUCACAAACAAAAUAAAUCUCAAACUUGCCAACUUUUAUUUUGUAAUAGUUCUUAGUAUGGCAUAAAUCUGGUUCAGAUGAUUAAAGCACACUGCUCAAUCAUCAUAGUGUUUGCGAUGGUGGUGCUUGUAGUGUUGUUUCUUCUCCUCGUCAUCAUCGGAGUUGUCAUCACCCUGCCAUUCAUACAGAUUAGAUUAGAUGGAUCAGAGAAGAGUUCAAAUGAGGUCAAAUCUUAACACCAAAACAAACUCCUCCAGACAAGCUUAAAGCACAGUGCCUAAUGCAAUUCGUCACAUGCUUAAAAUGUGUGUGGAUUAUGCAUAGUGCACGUCCUUGACAAUCACAAAUGUGUCCACACUCUGGAAGAGUCUCAAACUUCACAAUAUAGUGAAUACAUGCCUGCAGUAACGUAGCUACAUGUAAUUAAGGGGGUUAAACUUUUUUCAUUUUUAAUGAAAUAGGUAAAAUAAUGGAGGGAGCUUAAGUGAAGCCUCUUCGUCAGACAAUUAAAAAAGGACAUCUCGGUGCCGAAGCAACCCGCAUUCACGCAGGGUCCGGAAAAGGCCGCACCCCAAGGGGUGUGAUGUAGGCAGUUUACCCUGAUGCAAGCAUCAGUGGCUGAUUCUAUGACUCAAACUCUAUAGGUCAUACGGAAACAACUUUAUCGUUGUUCCAAAGCUCCCCUUUAAAUAGGGUAAAAAAGACAUCUCUUGUAUAUAUAUAUAUAUAUUUAUAUAAAAGAUUUUGAAUACCUUUGACAUAAGACAAGCUUUUAGUGUAGUGGCAAAAGUGAUUCAAAAAGUUGUUUUAGUUCGCAGGUUCAAAUCCUACAUGUGGCAUUCAUGGAUGUUUUUAGAUACCCUUGUUAGAAUUACUGGGCUCGAACAUUGUGUGCUUAGUUUAUGAAACACUUGAAGGCUAACCCCUUUCUUCUUCCGGUUCUUUUGACAAUUGCGGAUUAAGAGUGAAUGCACACAAUAAUUAGCUACUUACAAUGAGUUAAGUCAGGCAUCUAUACAUGAUAAUAUCUUCCUCACACCAAAAUGUAGGCAAAGUGAAGUACUCAUUUUACAAGCUGCGGUUUCUGUGAAAUCAAAGGAUUGCCUAUAUGUUUCUUGCCACACUAUCAUGCCUCCCUUGUUCAUCUAACAAAAUAAAAUGAGACCUCGGGUAAUAGCUACAGUGGGUGCACAUUCAAGAGCCUCGCCAAAUAAGUACAUACAGCUGAAGCUUAAAUUAACAUUUAUGCAGCGUUCUCAAAACUGUACACGACUCGUUGAAAUUGUUCUAUUAUUAGUCUCUAGGUUUUCCCCUUAGCCGCAAACAGACUGAAACAUCUCAAUGCAUCAAUAGAUAUAAACUCUCUAUUAUUAGUCUCUAGGUUUUACUGAGUCGUCGUUGUUGUUGUCUCUAAUAAGCUACUAUUCAAAAUUUCAAAGUAUUACUAAUAGAGAAACUUAAAGGAUUCAGAGCAAGAGAUAAAAGUUCAAUCAAAACAACGAAGAGAAUACUCACAUAUUUCUUGCGACCAUAGCCCUCGUCGUCCUCAUCACGACGCCUCUCAUAACUGGGUUUCUUGUAGUCCUCCUCCUCGGACCUUCCAUAGCGAGGCCUCUCAUACCCUUCUCCCUCCUCAGUCUGGUAGCUUGAACGCCCAUAACUGGGCCUCCUCUCACCCUCUUCCUCCUGCCCGUAGCUUGGCUUCCUCCCAUAUCCACCAGAUCCAUACUCUUCGGACUCGUUCCUACGCUCAUAACCCGAUUCAUAUUCCGAGCUAGGCUCCUCAUAUUCGCUCUUCCUCCGGUAUCCCGAUCCGUACUCUGGAGCGGGCUCUUCAUACUCACUCUUUCUCCCAUAUCCAGAUCCGUAUUCUGAUGUGGGCUCUUCAUACUCGCUCUUUCUCCCAUACCCGGAUCCAUAUUCUGAUUUGGGCUCUUCAUACUCACUCUUUCGUCCAUACCCAGAUCCAUACUGGGGAGUGGGUUCUUCAUAUUCACUCUUUCUCCCAUACCCGGAUCCGUAUUCAGAAACAGGUUCUACAUACUCACUCUUUCUCCCAUACCCGGAUCCGUAUUCGGAAGCGGGUUCUUCAUACUCACUCUUCCGUCCAUAUUCACUUUCUCCACCAUAGCCACCACCAGGACGAUUCAUCCCAGGCUGGAACCCAUAAUUGGGCUGAGGCUGCUCAUAAGCUUCGCCUUCUUCCUCAGAUGGGCGAUGAUAAGAUGGAG
rnacentral:lncRNA from 1 species